rnacentral:tRNA from 1 species
CAGAGGGUAGUUUAAUUAAAAUACUAGUUUUGGGAACUAGUGAUAAGAGUUUACUCUUUUCUCUGA